rnacentral:rRNA from 1 species
CCUACGGGAGGCAGCAGUGGGGAAUUUUGGACAAUGGGCGCAAGCCUGAUCCAGCCAUGCCGCGUGUGGGAAGAAGGCCUUCGGGUUGUAAACCACUUUUGUCAGGGAAGAAACGGUUUGUCCUAAUACGGCGGACUAAUGACGGUACCUGAAGAAUAAGCACCGGCUAACUACGUGCCAGCAGCCGCGGUAAUACGUAGGGUGCAAGCGUUAAUCGGAAUUACUGGGCGUAAAGCGUGCGCAGGCGGCUUUGCAAGACAGAUGUGAAAUCCCCGGGCUCAACCUGGGAACUGCAUUUGUGACUGCAUGGCUAGAGUACGGUAGAGGGGGAUGGAAUUCCGCGUGUAGCAGUGAAAUGCGUAGAUAUGCGGAGGAACACCGAUGGCGAAGGCAAUCCCCUGGACCUGUACUGACGCUCAUGCACGAAAGCGUGGGGAGCAAACAGGAUUAGAUACCCUGGUAGUCCACGCCCUAAACGAUGUCACUGGUUGUUGGACGGUCUUGCUGUUCAGUAACGAAGCUAACGCGNGAGUGACCGCCGUGGGAGGUACGGCCGCGAGUAGAACGACGAAGAGAGUUAGACGGCGUGAGACGUAGACCGACGGACGACGACGAGGGGAGGUUAGGG